rnacentral:lncRNA from 1 species
UUUUGACACAAAUGAAAACGAGUUGCAUUGCAGAGGAGGAAUGAUACAACAGCUCAGCUGUCUGCAGCCUGAGGGAACCGACAGAGUUAUAAUUAGUAAAUAUUAGUAAUGACUAGCUAUGGAUUAGAGUAAGGGAGCCUGACAAAGCCAGUGAUGGGCCGAUGGUCAGCCCGAAUUUUUGACUGAGAGGCUACGCUGGUUGAAAAACAAAACUAUGACUGGGCCCAGAUAAGAUCCAGAGGGUGGCCACCCAUGUUGCAAAUAUCUUAGUCUUACACCUCCCUACUGUAAAAAUUGCGAACAAGUUUAUCCUGUGUGGCCAGUGCCCACUUGCUUUUGGUCCUUACUUGCUCCCAGUCCACUCACCCAUAAUUGAUAAGGCCUAACCAAAUUCGUUGUAGUUUUGCUACAAGCAGUUCCACUCUAA